GGAACCAGCAGAAGUUUGGGUGUUAAGUUGUGGGUGAACAUAUCAGACGACACAGCGAUUCUUCAGACAGCUCUUGUUUAUUCGCAGGCCAGAAAUGAACUGAAUUGGAAGGGUUCAGCCAACCUGCUUAUACAGAGCUCCACUACAAAGCAACAGUAACAACUUUCUGUAACUAUCCAAUCACUGAACGUCACUUUCAAUUCCUUAUUUGCAUAUGUGGACCUGAGUGAAAACUAUCUACAGUAUCCCCCUGCUGGCCCAGGGUGAGAACUUCAGUACAUAACAUUGGGUACCACUUCUUAUGCAGUGAUGAGGAGGAUCAAAAGGAGGAGAGGCAACAACAGGGGAGGAAUUGUUUGCUAAAGAGCUAGUGGCCCUGAAAAUACAUUUGCACGGCUUAGGACUGUAGGAGUCAUCUCUUUUCUUUUAAGAUGAUGUCAGCGUCAUCUCCUAAGAUUUCAGAAGUGGGCAGGAGCCAAGUCUUCCUUUCUCCCUGUGUUGCAAUGUCACCUUGUUUCAUGGUCCACAUCAGGUUAGCAUGAUGUUUGCAACAUCGGGUGGGGAGGAGAGGCACCCCAAGGCAGCCUUAGAGCAAGGAAAAUCUGCUGGAAGUGAAAGCAGCUAGCUAUUCAUCUCAUCAGCAUACAUCAGGCAUACAGCCCUGAUGCCAUUAAAAAAGCAGUUUCGGGAGGUGAGAAGGAAUUUGGAGUGAAGAAGCAGGGCGAGUAACUUAACCCAUUCUAUGUCUACAGAUUCUCUGGUUUGCCUCCCCCACUCCCACCCCAGCACCACCAUGGUCCAAAAAUCUGCGUUUAGCUUUCAUUUGAACUGCAUUGGGAGACACCCAUUUGGGCAGAGAAGCUGCAGACGGGAAAUUUAUUUCUGAUUCUCUGCCCCUCUCCCGAAUCUGCCUUUCCUUCAUUAAGAAACAGCACAGGGCAAUGCUUAAGUUUAUAUACAUGUCCUGUUAUUCAGCCCUCAAUUCCCAGCUCUUUAUAAACGUACUGAAAACUGCAGCUGGAGAAUGCGCCAUAAUAUUUGGUGGGAUGAUGUAUGCGCCAACUCCUUGUACCAUAGACAAAUUUGAGUCUUUUUGGUGCAAGUCAGCAAGUCGAGAGUCAUGUUUUCUCAGCCUAACCUACCUCGCAGGCUUGUCGUGAGGAUAAAGUGGGGAAGGGGGGGAACAGUGCCACCUUGAGUUCUUGGGAGGAAAAGGCGGAGUAAAAAUAUAAUACUGCAAUAUUUUUGUAGAAAAAAUAUAUCAGGAGCUGCCUGCAGUCUCACCACCGAAAUAAAAAGGUAAAGGUAAAGGGACCCCUGACCAUUAGGUCCAGUCGUGACCGACUCUGGGGUUGCGGCGCUCAUCUCGCUUUAUUGGCCGAGGGAGCCGGCGUACAGCUUCCGGGUCAUGUGGCCAGCAUGACCAAGCCGCUUCUGGUGAACCAGAGCAGCGCACGGAAGCGCCAUUUACCUUCCCGCCAGAGCGAUACCUAUUUAUCUACUUGCACUUUGAGGUGCUUUCAAACUGCUAGGUUGGCAGGAGCAGGAACCAAGCAAUGGGAGCUCACCCCGUCGUGGAGAUUUGAACCGCCGACCUUCUGAUCGGCAAGUCCUAGGCUCUGUGGUUUAACCCACAGCGCCACCCGCGUCCCUUAACCACCGAAAUAGCUUUGUGCAAAUAAAUCAGGACGGACGCUCAUUGCUGUAUGACUGCCCCGUAAACAAAGCAGAACAAAUGCUCUGUAAAGGCCGGGCGCUGUCUAGCCCCCUCAUAAGCCUUGUGCAAUCAACUCGGGAGGAACCCUGAUUAAACAGCUUGUCUGGAGGGGGUCUGUACUGUCGUGGUCCAAAAAUGGGACAAUCUGUGCCUUGCCCAGGGGAUGGCAGCAGUGUCUCUCGGAUUUCUGCAUGACACGUCUCUAUAGCAACCGUGCACAAGCAUGGCAGAGGAACUCUGGAGGGCAACAGCAAGGUUACUCGAAACUCCGCUGCUGCAAUUCAAAGAGCAGGUUGGCUUGCCCAGAGUCGAGCCGCUUAGUGAAAGUUUCAUUACCUAUUCUCCCCUGAAUUUCCCCACCAACAAAGUCAUGCGCUGGACGCCUCAGGCUCUGGAUCCCAUUUCUGCCCGCAGGUUCCCAGGGCUCUUUGCCUCCAUUCGAGGUUAAUCAUUCACCUUUUUAAUUUCAUUUAUUUAUUUAUUUCACCGAGCCAACGGUUUGUAUGAAUAGAGUCAUUGUGCACAGCGGGAACGAGCCCCAACCCCCAAACAAUGGAGCAAGGAAAAAAAGAGAGAGGAAAGUGGAAAGAAGAGACGUCCAAAAAGUGCUCCAGCCGACGAUAACAGGAGCUAAGCAGAGUGGCUGCAGAUGCAGACUCCAUAAACUGGGUGCCAGGAUUAUACGUAACUCGUUCCCCAACUUUUAUUUCAACCCACCCCGUUCGUUCCACUGUGCAUCCGCGCUAACAAGCAAACUCCUCUGCAGAUGAUUAUUACUGCAUGUAGGAUAAUCUCAGUCUUCUCAAUCAACUGUACAAAUGCCAUAUGCAGAAGAAGAAGAAGAAGAAGAAGAGCAGAUUUAGACAUGCCUGUGGGGCAGUUGCAAUAUGGUGAGAUUUCUUGGGGCGUGGGGAACGACGCUGUAUAUGUCUCUACUGGAGCUCAGCAGCAUAGCAUGGGUUGCUGGUGCCCAGGGCACACGCUAGGCAGGCACAGGGCACAGAGCCAGCCACUCCAGCCCAGCCCUUGCCCCUGGAGCCAAGCGGGGCCAUGCUAUGCUGCCUGCCCACCCGCCAGUGCAGAAGGGAGCCCGGCCGGCCGACAAAGCCCUUGGUGGGCGAACCCCACGCCCCCGAUGCCCAUGGAGAGGGGUUGGGCCAUGCUGGGGUCACCCCUUCGAGAGGAGCAAGCAAGUGCUGGCCGGGCGGCCCUUCAGCAAAGAAGCCAGGGACAGCGUGGCAAGGUCAGGCUGGGUUCCAGGGCCCAGAGACCUCCGCGGGCAGGCAAGGUGGGACAGGGAUCCCUCAGGAUUGCCUUUCUGGAGCCACAUUCUCACUGUCUCAAGUAGGACUGGGACAGAGGCCUGUCUAAAAUCCACUCGGUGUGACCAAUACUAAGGUAGAUGGACCAAUGAUCUGGUUGGGUAUGACACAGUUUCCUGUGUUCCAAUGAGGAUAAUAGCACUCUCUUGUUAUUUGUCCGCAGAGUGUAAUAUUCAGAGGUAUGCUUCCUGUUAAUGUAGAGGUUCCACUGAGAUUUAAAGGCAAAUAGCCAUUAAUAGUUGCAUCUUCCAAGGACAUAAUACUUUGAUAAUCGGAUUUCCUCCCUUCCUCUCUGUCAUCUUUCCCAUUGCCACCAUUUAGACUGGAAGCUCUUAGGGGCAAAGACCUGUAUUCUUAUUUUGUAAUGUUACACUAUUAAGUGAUAUGCUAGGAUUCCUGCCUGUCAGUUUAGACUGCGCUGGACUAGAGGAGCGGAUGGUUUGAUUCAGUAUUAGGCAGCUUCUGAUCUGUUUUCAUUCUAUGCAGAUUUAACCCGUUGAUCUGCAUAUGAUUAGCUGAGUUUAAAUUAGUAGUUUGACAUGUACUAACCCAUUGACAUGUACUAAAAGCAGAGACAUCACCUUGCCAACAAAGGUCCGUAUAGUUAAAGCCAUGGUUUUCCCAGUAGUGAUGUAUGAAAGUGAGAGCUGGACCAUAAAGAAGGCUGAUCGCCGAAGAAUUGAUGCUUUUGAAUUAUGGUGCUGGAGGAGACUCUUGAGAGUCCCAUGGACUGCAAGAAGAUCAAACGUAUCCAUUCUUAAGGAAAUCAGCCCUGAGUGCUCACUGGAAGGACAGAUCGUGAAGCUGAGGCUCCAAUACUUUGGCCACUUUCAUGAGAAGAGAAGACUCUCUGGAAAAGACCCUGAUGUUGGGAAAGAUUGAGGGCACAAGAAGGGGACGACAGAGGACGAGAUGGUUGGACAGUGUUCUCAACGCUACUAACAUGAAUUUGACCAAACUGCGGGAGGCAGUGGAAGACAGGAGUGCCUGGCGUGCUCUGGUCCAGGGGGUCACAAAGAGUCGGACACGACUAAACGACUAAACAACAAGAAACCCAUUGUCUGCAAAGAGGAACGGCACCCAUUGAAUUUCUGCCUGCGAAAGGGCAAUCAAAGACACAGAGAAUAGGUGGCAAUUCUCCCGGGAGUCUUUCACAACUUUAAUGCUGUAGAUUAAAAGCAUUGCGGGGAAAUUAAAACGGUGACCAGUAGCCAACUCCAAACUGCCACAGGUUUAGCCAAUGUUUGGGCUGGGGGGCGGACACCAUCUUAAGAGGGGACCAGCCGCAAGACAUUUGGCUAAAGACCCUCUUAAACCUUUCCCUCUUCGAACGCAGAAUCUGAGCUUUCCUCAUUUGAAAGUGGCGGUGAUUGCGAGGUUGGUAUACAAGCAGAUCCUCUCGAAAGCACCACCGGAUGAAAAAUUAAUAUGCAAUUGCAACAAUCCUGUACAAAUUCUCUGUGUGUGUUCCUCUCUCUCUCUCUCUCUCUCUCUCUCUCUCUCUCUCUCCUGAAUCUCCUUUUUUAAAAAGCAUUUGCAAAACUUGUGAUUUGAUGUUGACUGGCGGCAGCGGGAGGAAUAUCAUGGAACGGAGCAUCUUAUUAUUUAUAUCGGGGUUUUAUUGUGCAGCUUGAUGCUGCUGGGCGAGGGUGGGCAGUCGCCUCUAAAAAAUACAGGCCCGCUGGCAAAAUAAGGUGGCACCUUUGCUUGACCUGCCUCAGCCAAGCCGGUGAUGUAAGGCAAUCCCAUCAUCAAGUCACUGAAGGAGAGGGUUGCUAUGGCAAUCUGUCUUCCCUCUCUCAUCUUUGAUGUUCGGCCGCUCGUUCGCCUGAAUGGGAAUGCGGAGCAGCGAAGUCACAACUCGGCGCUACAGAAUCACAGAGGUGGAAGUGGCUUUGCUGGGCGUUCCCGCGUCUAAGGCAGGGAGGGAGGCCGCUGGCACCUUGGGCAGCUGGGGAGCGCAGGAAUGGGAGCAGGGUCAGGCCCACCUCUCCGGGGAAAGCAGGGUGGCAGGGUGUCCUAAUUUGCAGAGGAUGUUCCUCUCUCUGAAGGUUAGCAUCCUCAGCCAAGCCGGCACUCUUCGUUCGCUGCGUUGAAUGGCAUGGUCUGGCCGGGGGUGUGGCCUGAGAAGAGGGGGUGUGGCUUCGGUAUACCUGAAGGAGCGUCUCCACCCCCAUCGUUCAGCCCAGACACGGAGGUCCAGCGCCGAGGGCCUUCUGGCGGUUCCCUCACUGCGAGAAGCAAAGCUACAAGGAACCAGGCACAGGGCCUUCUCGGUGGUGGCACCCGCCCUGUGGAAUGCCCUCCCAUCAGAUGUCAAAGAGAUAAACAACUAUCCGACUUUUAGAAGACAUCUGAAGGCAGCUCUGUUCAGGGAAGUUUUUAACAUGUGACAUUUUAAUGUAUUUUUAAUCUUUGGUGGAAGCCGCCCAGAGUGGCUGGGGAGAUCUAGCCAGAUGGGCGGGGUACAAAUAAUAAUAAUUAUUAUUAUUAUCAUCAUCAUUAUUGGGGGCCCCGUAUUUGGCCCGCUGGCCCAAGGUUACCCACCCUGCUUGGGUAUGCGCACAUUUCAAACCCUGCGGCUUAAAGUUCUCUCCGUGUAAUUUUCUCCGCAUGCCACAGGUGUGCCGAGGCGCAUAACGGAGAUGACUGUAGCAGCCGCCGACAAGGACCCUUUCGUCGCUUAUUGGCACCCCCGGCCCUGACCCACACGUAAAGAGACCUGCGGCUCAGAGGCUUGAUUAUACAGAUUUCAGGGACCCCAGAGUCGGCGCAACCCUGUCAUUUGGCGCAGCAACGGCAACCUGAGAGGGUAAACAAGGCACAAAAGCGCCGUGAGGCACUUGCAGAGUGUUGAAUUGCCGGCCUGCCGCAGGAAGCCGUGGCGGAAUAAAGCACACUGAGGCUGUCGGCAUAAUUUAAUUAGCUUUUUCUAGGCAUUUGGCUCAGAAUGCCAAAGACCCCCCGCCUAAGCCAUUGUAGCCGUCUGCGUAGGGUCAGGAGCAAAGUGGGCCCCUUCAUGGUGACUAAUGAAAUGAAUUCAUUGUUUAUUAUUAUUAUUAUUAUUAUUAUUAUUAUUAUUUGAAUUUAUUUACCGCCCUAUACCCAGAGGUCUCAGCGGUUCACAGAAUAAAAUUAAAAGAUAAAACUACAAAAUACAUCAUCAAAAUCAGUGCUCUUUUCCCCCCUAAAAAUGUUUAGGGGUACUCUCAUUUUGACUCAAGAAAAUCACCAUUUUGUAGUUCAAAUCGGGGGAAAUAAGUAAAUAAAAAUAAAUACAGUAAAUGGACAAAAGUACAAAGAUUCACAAGAUGUUUAGGAGUAUGCGUACCCCUGCGUCCCCCCCGAAAAAAGCUCUGAUCAAAAUUAAAAUGAUAACCCAAUAACACCCCGUCCAGAACAAAACCCCACAUUUUAAAAGGGCAUAGGAAGUCAAUCACAUCAUCCAAAGGUCUGGUUAAAAAGGAACAUUUUUGCCUGGUGCCAAAUGUGUAUAAUGAAGGUGCCAGGCGAACUUCCCUGGGGAGAGCAUUCCACAGACAGGGAGCCACUGUAGAGAAGGCCCCGUUCUCAUGUUGCCACCCUCCGGACCUCUCAAGGAAGAGGCACAUGAAGAAGGGCCUUGGAAGAUGAUCUCAGGGUCCGGGUAGGUUCAUAUAGAAAGAGGUGGUCCUUGAGGUAUUGUGGUCCUGAGCUGCUUAAGGCUUUAUAGGUCAAAAUUUGACCGGGGAGUCAAAUAUAAGCCAGGUGAACUCUGGCAUCAAGCUGAUGCCUGUCUUCCUGCCAGCCAGAGUCCUUCUUUCAUUCACAGCAUGCAGACGCAGUGGAUUCCCACAUUGGUUGGCUUUUUAAUUUUGAGAGGCAGCGUGGUGUAGUGGUUAGAGUGUCGGACUAGGAGCUGGGAGACCAGGGUUCGAAUCAUCACCCGGCACUGGAAGUUGUGGAUUCACAACAGAUAUGCAUUACCUUCUUAACUCCUUUGGGUUCAAACUUUGACUGCCCCCUCGCCCCCAGCUUCUCACACUUGGCAAAGACAGGUUUGGAGUUCCCUGGUAUCGCCAAGGGCUGUUUUCUAAGGAAAGAAACCACAUGUUUUCCGUUUUCACUCACCAGAUAAGAGAGCUAACAAGACCAGCAGUGUGCGUUAGAGUGCUUUCUCUUUUGAAAAAAGUGGUUAUGCAACCCAAUUUAGCAGAUGCAUCUGUGACACAUCUGGAACUGCUGGGGAAAUCAGAAUAACGUUUCUCUGUGUAUGCGCACACCAAAGGUACCCCAUGUGUCAAUAAAUGCUAUUAUUUAGGUCAGGGGCUCUUUGCAGUACAGUGGUACCUCGGGUUACAAACUCUUCAGGUUACAUAUGCUUCAGGUUACAGACUCUGCUAACCCAGAAAUAGUACCUCGGGUUAAGAACUUUGCUUCAGGAUGAGAACAGAAAUUGUGUUCCAGUGGCACGGCAACAGCGGGAGGCCCCAUUAGCUAAAGUGGUGCUUCAGGUUAAGAACAGUUUCGGGUUAAGAACGGACCUCCGGAACGAAUUAAGUACUUAACCCAAGGUACCACUGUGGCGAUGUGGGUUAAACCACAGAGCCUAGGACUUGCCGAUCAGAAGGUCAGCGGUUCGUAUCCCCGCGAUGGGGUGAGCUCCCGUUGCUCGGUCCCUGCUCCUGCCAACCUAGCAGUUCGAAAGCACAUCAAAGUGCAAGUAGAUAAAUAGGUACCGCUCCAGCGGGAAGGUAAAUGGCGUUUCCGUGCGCUGCUCUGGUUCGCCAGAAGCGGCUUAGUCAUGGUGGCCACAUGACCCGGAGGCUGUACGCUGGCUCCCUCGGCCAGUAAAGCGAAAUGAGCACCGCAACCCCAGAGUCGUCCGCGACUGGACCUAAUGGUCAGGGGUCCCUUUACCUUUUACCACUGUAUUAUGGACCACCCCCUUUUUCUUGCACAGCGGUCGCUGCACGAGAGGGGGACUAAAAGUCUUGAAACCUGGCUCCUUCUUCAUUCCAUUGCAGCUGUGCCUUUGGGGAAGGGUCGCAGCUCAGCAGUAGGGCAUGUGCCUUGCAUGCAGAAGGCCCCAGAUUCAACCUCCUCAACAUAUUCAGGGAAGGCUGGGAGAGACUCCCUGCUGAAACACCUCAGGAUAGCUGCUGCCAGUCAGUGGAGGCAAUGCUGAGACUCAGUAUAUGGCCACCUGAGGGAUAGCUCAGUCAGCAGAGCAGAGCAUGAGACUCAGAGUUGUCUUUAUAGAUGGUAUUUAACUCUGAGUAGACUUGCUAAGAUGGGAUGUGGGUGGCGCUGUGGUCUAAACCACUUAGCCUAGGGCAGGGGUAGGCAACCUAAGGCCCAGGGGCCGCAAGCGGCCGAAUCGCCUUCUCAAUCUGGCCUGCGGACGGUCCAGGAUUCAGCGUGUUUUUACAUGAGUAGAAUGUGUGCUUUUAUUUAAAAUGCAUCUCUGGGUUAUUUGUGGGGCAUAGGAAUUCGUUCACAUUUCCCCCAAAAAAUACAGUCCGGCCCCCCCACAAGGUCUGAGGGACGGUGGGCCAGCCCACGACUGGAAAAGAUUGCUGACCCCUGGCCUAGGGCUUGCCGAUCAAAAUGUCGGCGGUUCAAAUCCCCACGACAGGGUGAGCUCUGGUUGCUUGGUCCCUGUUCCUGCCCACCUAGCAGUUCGAAAGCUCGCUGGCUUCAGGAGCUGCUCGCUGCCAUGGCGCCCGCCAUUUUUCCUUCCCGGAAGUCCCCAUAUAAUGUGUUGCGGCACAAGACACAUCAUAUGAGGACUUCUGGCAAGGAAAAGCAGCAAGCAGCGAGCAGCUCCUGAAGCCAGCCAGAGCCAACUGCACUACCAGGCUGACUCCGGGCUGCUGAGGCUGCCACUGUCACAUUUCCUGGGGACAGAUUUGCAAAUCUGGGGACAUUCCGGGGACGGAAUUUGUCCGGGGACAGAUUUGCAAAUCUGGGGACUGUCCCGGGAACCAGGGACGUCUGGUAACCCUAGACCAUCCCUACUCGACAACCCCCUCUCCCAAAAAGCUCAACAACCUUGGCAAAAAAACUCAACAACUUUGUGUCCAGAUUUCCACUUUUGGACCAGACACCAAUGGACCUGGGACCCCUGGUCUGUCCUUAAAUCUCAUGGGAAGUGUUAGAGUCACAGGGUGGAAAAUUCCUCUGGUGAAGAUUGCAAAGUGGCAGAAACACUCCUUUGGUUCAUUGGCUCUUUAAUACAGUCAUGUAGCGAGUGAAGGGGCCUGUUUGUCCACUAUCUCAGCAACUAUCUGCCCCGUUGACCCCUCUGUUUUCCUAGCUCCGGCCCUGGGACCAGCCAGAGAGUCGAGAAGAUUAGAGCCAGUGUUCUUUGCAACAGGAACACUGUCGCCUCAAAUCACCAUCAAGCCUAGCUCUGAAUGGGUCAACAACACCG